ACAGACCAAGGAAUGACCACAUGAGAACACAGCAAGAAGGCAUCCACCUGCACACCAGGAAGAGAGCCCUCACCUGCAACUGAAUUGGCUGACCCCUUGAUCUUGGACUUCCAGCCUCCAGAACUAAUGAUGUUGCAGCAUGUUCCCUUACAUUACAACAAUCUCUGGCCUUUUUUCUGAGUCAAGGUCAAGGUUUGCCUUGAUGAUCUGGCACAUUAAUAGAAGCCGUGUAUUGGUCUCUGUGUUAUCUUAUUGGAUUUCCUGCCGACCAUGAAGAUUGACGGGUUUUAUUAGCCCUCACAGGAAAACUGAUUCUCAAAGUCAAAAAUCUCCAGCAUAGAAUACAGGAUAUGGACCCAUCGAUCCCCACUACAAAAAGCCUUUCCUAGUACAGAGUACUGCCUCUCAAAG